CCUUCGAUAGCUCAGUUGGUAGAGCGGUGGACUGUAGUUGGUUUAUCAGGAAUCCAUAGGUCGCUGGUUCAAAUCCGGCUCGAAGGA
rfam:Trichomalopsis sarcophagae strain Alberta scaffold3394, whole genome shotgun sequence.